rnacentral:rRNA from 1 species
GUACACGCUGUGACUAGCAUAUCAAUAAGCGGAGGAAAAGAAACUAACAAGGAUUCCCCUAGUAACGGCGAGUGAAGCGGGAAGAGCUCAAAUUUGAAAUCUUAAAGGGUUUCCCUUUACGAAUUGUAGUUUAAAGAAGUGUUUUCUGUUGAGGUUUUGGUAAAAGUUCUUUGGAAUAGGACAUCAUAGAGGGUGAGAAUCCCGUAUUUGACCUUUACUUUCAACUUUGUGAUACACUUUCAAAGAGUCGGAUUGUUUGGGAAUGCAGUCCAAAAUGGGUGGUAAAUUUCAUCUAAAGCUAAAUAUUGGCGAGAGACCGAUAGCGAACAAGUACCGUGAGGGAAAGAUGAAAAGAACUUUGAAAAGAGAGUUAAACAGUACGUGAAAUUGUCAAAAGGGAAGCGUUUGACACCAGUGUUGUUUUUCUGAAAAUCAAUUAAAGAACUGUUUAUGCUAAGUUGUUUAGACUUUAUCAGCUAUCUGUUUAGUUUUGAGCUUUUCUUUAAUGCGCUUUUCAGUUAACAAGUCAACAUCAAUUUCUUUUGCUGUAAAAAAGCUUGAGGAAGGUGGCUUGAGAUUCGUCUUAAGUGUUUAUAGCCUCUUGCCUAUGCAGUCGGAGAGAUUGAGGUCUGCAGCGUAGAUCCUUCGGGGCUAAAUGCAUUUGUGCUAAGUUAUAGCAUUUUAUAGACAACUUGUUGACUAUGAUUUGUCUUGUAGCUUACUCGCUUAUGUUAUUUUACCUACGCUUAGGAUGUUGAAGAUGUAGCACAUCAU